rnacentral:rRNA from 1 species
UGGUGAACCAGCGGAGGGAUCAUUACUGAGUUUACGCUCUACAACCCUUUGUGAACAUACCUAUAACUGUUGCUUCGGCGGGUAGGGUCUCCGUGACCCUCCCGGCCUCCCGCCCCCGGGCGGGUCGGCGCCCGCCGGAGGAUAACCAAACUCUGAUUUAACGACGUUUCUUCUGAGUGGUACAAGCAAAUAAUCAAAACUUUUAACAACGGAUCUCUUGGUUCUGGCAUCGAUGAAGAACGCAGCGAAAUGCGAUAAGUAAUGUGAAUUGCAGAAUUCAGUGAAUCAUCGAAUCUUUGAACGCACAUUGCGCCCGCCAGCAUUCUGGCGGGCAUGCCUGUUCGAGCGUCAUUUCAACCCUCAAGCUCUGCUUGGUGUUGGGGCCCUACAGCUGAUGUAGGCCCUCAAAGGUAGUGGCGGACCCUCCCGGAGCCUCCUUUGCGUAGUAACUUUACGUCUCGCACUGGGAUCCGGAGGGACUCUUGCCGUAAAACCCCCAAUUCUCCAAAGGUUGACCUCGGAUCAGGUAGGAAUACCCGCUGAACUUAAGCAUAUC